rnacentral:lncRNA from 1 species
GGGGAUGAUCUGGUCGGUGUCGAUGUUGUCUCCCACCACGAAGACCUCGCCGUGGAAGACCGCGGACGACGGGGAGCUGCCGCCCGCCGCGGCCGCGGGGGUCAGGGUCCCAGCGCGGCGGCAUUUCAGGAUGGGGUGGCGGUGGGAGGUGGCCUGGGUGCGCCGGAGGAACGCGCUGGUAGGCGCUGGUCUGGGGGCUAGCACCGCCGUUGACGCCACCGUCGCCGCCGCCGUCGGAGCCGCCGCCAUGAUGAUGGUUUCGGCUUGGACGCUCUUGGUUGAUUGGGGAUCGGGAAUCAGAGGUGGGUUUAGGGCAAGGGCUGAAAUGGG